rnacentral:lncRNA from 1 species
AGUUAUUUCGCAACCUUCAUCUGUUCCUGGAAGAUACCCGUAGCCUGCCUUCCUUCUUGACAGGCUGAUUUAGGGGUGCUCCCCAAGAAGAUCAGGACUGCUGAAAGAAUGAAGAAGAACUUACUUGGCCUAGGAUGUGGCUAGAGAACGGAGCGCACUUUCACUUACCUGGCAAGGUGGUUUUGGAAGUUUCCACGGAAGCCUUCCCAGGGCCGCUGCUGCCCGUCCUCGCCUAGAAGAAUUCCAUUCUCCCAUCCCAGGAAGGAGAGUGCCCUGCGUGCCACGAAAGAGCCCAGGACCCACAGGACAAAUACGUCACUGGCAGACCUGCCUUCGCCAGCGCCAGCCCAUCUCUGAAACCUCCAGCAUUUGUGCCCCGGUCCGGCCCCUCCCAGGCCUGACUCUUUCCGUGAACGGUCACUGCGCAGGAUCAAGCUACAAUGAAGAGGAGGGAGGCAGUCUGCGCGCACCGCCAUUUUCUAGGAACUGGGAAGCCCCCCCACCCCUUAGGAAGAUCCAUCCCUGUGGAACCUUGCCCAGGCUUACCAGCCUUUGCUGAGGUUGAUCUAUUGUCCCUCCUUGUCCCCAUCAAAAUAUCCAGCACUCCACCUUCAGGGAGUAGACUUGACCCUCAAAUAGCAAGUUCAGCCUUCCCAGGUCUAGGUUCCCUGGGAGGUCAAGAUUCGUCUGGUUCCUUAGUACAGAGGGCUAGCUGUGAGUUGGAAUCCCCCUAUGAGCUUUAGAAUCAGUCAAGAGGAAUUGGGCCCCUUCCCUUCAUCCCUCUUCUUUUCCCUUUUUGUCCCAGAGCUCAGCUCUGACUCAAAAGUUUUUCCAUUUACCAUCAACAUGGAAACUUGGCUCCUCACGUAGGUAUAUUAUCCCCCUUUUGUACAUGGUCUUGUUGAUCCAAACUCCCUUUCUGUGAAAGAGGCCUGUGGGGCUCAAGAAGCCUGGUCAGCCAGCCAGGCUAGUCCCACAUACCUCAGAACCAGUUUAAUAAAGGCUCUAUGUCAUUCUUUUUUGCUUGGGCUGAUUGGUGUGCUGAUUCAGAAGACCUUGAUAUUUUAUUCUUUCCCCCAAACCAGCUCAAUUGGUGUUUGUGCUAGAGGGAGAUGGACCAUGGGGAGGGCUGUUAUAAGGGAUAUCCUUGGCCCUCCCACUUCCCCCUUUGAAGGAUGCCCUUGUUAUCUUAGGCAGGGACCUGAUACCGGUUGGUUCAGUAGAUAUCUGGCAGUUUACUCUGAGCAUUUACCUUAUAUUAGGGCAAGAACUAAAGGAACAAAUAUAUCCACCUCAAUGUCAGGUCAAAUGGGAGGAUGUGGAUGGGAGUAAAGAGUGAUUAGUAUUGAGGUCGUGGAAUUUUAUUGGUUACUAUUUUUAUAACUUUGGUCUUCGAGUCCUUGAAUGAAGGUAAACGGAGACUUAUUAGGGAACAAAUUACUAGUGGCAGGGUGGUGGUGUCCUGGUGUCCUGCUUAGAAUGUGAAGAGAGUGCCCCAUCAUUGGCCUAUGCUGUGCAUCUGGGAGGUGGUAGGCCACAGUCCUGAACUGCACAACUGGUAGUGAAAUUCAGAGCAGAAUGCAACAUUUAUUUAAUGGGGCCUCACAGUUGGCCAGUGUCCCUGUGGCCUUUCCCCUUCUUCCUUCCACUCUGUGUCAUGGAGACCCGACUUGAUUUGGCAAGAGAACAACGUACACCUAAGAUUUCCCGAAUAUUUCCCAGCAAGGACCCUGGCUGGCUAUGUUUCUACUUCAGUGGUGACCACAGCAGAUACUGGCAGUUUUCUGUUAUGGCUCUGGGGUCUUUUAAGGAGCAGGAACGUGGAAUAUGUACAAACCUGGAGCCACAGUCAAGUACUAAGCUCCUUGAAGCACAAGGCAUGAGAAUAUCAUGUUUUCUUUUCCUUAGAGGAUUUAUGAAUUAAAACUAAGGAAUAAUUUGUAAUCAGAAUAACACCACCUGGCAGGGAUGUUGAUGAGCUGAGGAAGGCUUAUUUGGAGAUUUCUGGUAUUUUCCAGCUCUGAGACUCCAGACCUAAUAUCCAUGUAAUGGCCAUUAAUGUCUUGUAAUUUAUAACAGUUUUAUCAGUGAUCCAUUACAUUAAUCAUCAUGAGUUGGUGACUUAUCAAGUCCUACAGGUUAUUUGUUAUUUGUAUAACUAUAUAGAGCUAUUUAAUUUACAAACACAAUACUCUUUUGAGGUAGAUACCAGAACCAUUUUACAUUUGAGGAUAUUGAAGCUAGGAAAAAGACUCAGCUCUUGAAGGAAUGGACAUGGGGUGCCCUUGCCUUCCUUGGGGAGAGAGCCACCUAAUCUGUGCAGCUGUAGUUAGGGCCUGCCACCUUAUUCCUCCUCUCCAUCCAGCCCCUACAUUUUGGAAACAAAAAGGCAGCAGUGAUCUGGGAAUUAUUUAAUGCUUAGUUUGACAGGACAAAUUUUAAGGACCUUAAGAGCAACCUUUUAUUUCUUACCAUAUGAGGCACUGGGACAGGCACAGAGAAGUCAAUAUUAUUUGCCCAGUGCAUUUCUUCAUGGCUUCUGCUUUUUAAUCUUAGGCUCACUUUUUUAACCUCAUUGCUCACAUGUUAUGAUUCCUUCCAGAAAGUUCACUGAAAUUCUAAUGUCCCUUGCUGUUCCUUAGGUAACUUAGGAGUAACUUUCCAGCUCUUCCCCUAACUAGUUGUGUGACGUGCAGCAGGCUGCUUAACUUCUGUGUGUCUCAGUUUUCUCAACUGUAAAAUGAAUGAUCCAACCCCUGUGUCAGAAGGAUGGGUGAGGCUCAUGAGGAAUAACACAUAAGAAAUAUGGGAUGCUUACCACAGUGUUUGGUAAAUAACAUGAGUUUCCUCUUCCCUCUUUGAACAGUCCUUUGUAUUCUGCUGAGAGCUUUCCUGUUCAUGCUGCCUCACAACCAAAAGGGGAAAGAAUCCUGAGUCCUGUGCUCAUGAUUUCUCCCUUUGCUAGCUGGUUCAAGGCCAAUCCAGAUACCAUGGUAUUUUCUGAAAGAGUCCCACCCUUCUGUGCAAAAGCCUUCCUCCCAGGGAGACUUGAUAUGACUGAUUAACAAUCCAAUUAACACUCUGGAACAAUCUAGAAGGGCUGUGGCUCAUUACCCUCAGCAAUUUUCCACCCAUUUAGUCUCCAAGCCAUUCCCUGGAAGAGACAAGUGGAUCUGAUGAGUGGGGCUGUGCCAUGAGACCUCCAGUAUUUAUGGAGAAGCCAGUCCUUUCUUCCUUCGCCAGGCCUCAAGAUUUCCCAAUGUGCCUCUAUUCUUACAUGGCGGAUGGGAUUCUUUGCCUUCAUACAGGAAGGAACUGGAACCUCAAGGCAGACAGGACAAAUACAAAUCUUGAAAAUGACCAUGACUCCUAGUUGGUCCCUACUUGCCUCCUGGUUUCACUAAGUAGAGGGUCACUCCAGGUAGAGCCCUAUCCAGCACACUGCUCCUUCCCCCACCUUUAGAUGUGGACAGUGGGUGGACUGGGCCCAUAGCCUGGACCUGGACAGCUGUGUCCUCCCAACCAGACUCUUCUGAUUCUGCUGCGCCUCACUCUUUCCUACUUAUCCUUGCCUAGAUCCCUCUUACUCCAUCUUUCCUGCUCAGGUCACAAUGGACAAUAAUCUCUGACCCCUGCCCCAGCUAGACUGGCACUGGAGAGCUGAGAGAGCCUCCUGUCCAUGGAGAAUUCUGGCAGAGCUGCUAUCUUCAGCCCCGUCUCAACUCUCCAGGGUCCUGUGCCCUUUGUCUACCUCUCCCAGGCCUGACUCUCCUCCCACUUGCAUGGACAUUGUCUUUCCUAGCUCUGGGCUGCCUUCUCAGCCUCAUGUUUUGCCCUUUUUCCUGCUGUGGGAGCCAGCCAUCACUGUAAUGCAUGAGUGCGGGGAUGUGGUGUGAAGGGAACUCCAGUUCUGGGGUCAGAAGAUUUAAAGUUUGAGACCUACUUCUGUCCCAUAAGCACUAUAAAAACUAAGCCAAAUAAACAACUUUGAUCCUCAGUUUGGAAACUUUUGUAAUGUGAAGAAAUUAGACUUUUGAUAAAGAAUGGAAGAAAUGGUCAUCCAUGCUAAAGAAAUGUUUGGAAUGUUGAGAUGCUAUAGAAUCUUUCUGACAGUGCUGCUGACUUUGUAUACCUCUACAUAUAAAUGUCUCCAGUUUUGUUUCUUUUCCACCAUUCUGCAGACAAAGCUGAAUGCAGGCAGGGAAGGAACCCUCACUGUUGAGCCCUGGAAUCAGGCACUCUUGUCUGAGCCCCUUCAUCUUUGGUUUGGGGUAGAAAGCACAGGUGGCACCCUUUCUCUAGUUUUCUCACUUCUGGCACAAACUUUCAUUUACUGUAACCUAAGAAAGGAUGGAAGACCUUGAGCCUCAAGAAAAAAGCCCCAAGAAAAUUCCAUGCCUCUGCUUCCCUCACAAAUCAAAGCUGAGCUAAUCCAGAGCAGUUUGCAUGAUUCCUUAGAAGAAGGAACCUCACCAGGACUCUUAAAAGCAGGGAGACCAAGGAAGAAUUGGGCUUCUGCACUUAAUCACUGUUGAGGUCCUCCCUGCCUGCUCCCAGACCUCUGGAGUGACCCACAGUCUUCUCUAUUUACCUUAAAAACAGAAUCCAACCUCUUCAUGUAGGUGAGUCACCCCAUCUGCAGUUAUAUGUCCUGGCGCACCCCAGCUCUCCCCAAACAAACUGUGAAGCAUCAGCCCUACCCAAGGAACCUGUCCAGCCAUGCACACUUCAACCAACCCUCUCUGACCUUAGGAUGAAACCGUUUCUCUAACAUUUUUUUUCACUCACAUUGGGACCAGUGUGUUGAUUCAGAAGACCAAAUUGGGAACUAAUUUUAAUCUCCCUACCUCAAGCAAAUGGAUGGUCUUCGGACUAGAGGGGGCCCAGGUAUUAAAGGGUGUCAGAGAGGGCUGGUCAAUGGGCUACCAUCCCACCACCCCUUGGGAAGAGCUCACCUCCCUUCUCAAGUGGAGAGCCUCUGGCCCACUCUCAGCCCUCUGAUCAGAGCCAGGCUCUCACUGAGUGAUUUUUCUGGCACCUGGCAGUCUUCCCAUCCUAGAAGGGGAACAGUGGGAGGUUUUUGGUGGCAGCAUUUGUGUCAUUCCAGAAUACUGGAUGUUAGAUUUUGGCUGUUGGGAAAAUCCUGGAACAAAGAUGAAAGGUGAGAAGGAUUAGGGAACCAAUGAGUGAGGGGCAGGAUGGCCAUCCUCAGCCCAGCAGUGAAGUCUACAGUUUUCCAGGUGCUUCCAUCUACUAUUGGGGCUGUUGUGUAUGUCAGAACAUUCAGGGCAUCAGGGAGUACAGAGGUUACCAUGUGCUCUCUGCCACUUCCCUGCCUCCUUUCUUCUCUCAAAAUCAUAGAGACCAGUGCUGAUUUGGCAGGGAAUAUCGAACCUCUUGAGAUUUUUCCAGCUGGAACCCUGGCUCUGUACCUAGUUUUUUAACACUAUUUUGACCAUAGCAGUCUUUGGGAGCUGCUUGAUGUCUGGGCUCUGGAUUUCCCAUGAAGUCAAGAAUGAUGGAUUCACAAGGGCCCACCGGGAAUAUGGAGCCAUGGUCUGAUUAGAGCACAGAGAGCUACUUCCUGCCUUGGGUAAAUCCUGAAAUUCAUCAUGCAUGAUUUUCCUUUUAAUAAGAUUAAGGAGAGCUUGUAUAGAUAUUGAACAGGGGAUCCUGAUAGCCAUUGAGGGAGGCUGGAGUAGAUGACCUCUGAUAGCUUUUGCCAGCUUUGAGAGUCUAUGAACUUAACAUAUGUAAUAUUAUCAUUAAUAUGCUAUAAUUUAUGUUACUUUAAAUGAUGCAUAUCAUUAAUAAUAAUGACUGUUAUUACGCUGCCUUUUCCGAUCCAAUAUGUGAUCUGUGUAACUACAUAGUACUACAGAAGCAUACUUACUGAAGUCGAUACUUACCAUUGAUAUCUUACCAAAAAAGAAACUGUGGCCAAGAAACAGCCUCUCAACCCAGAACCCCCAAACUAAACAGCCUCUUUCUCUCAGGAGGAACUGAACCUGCCUUGGUUUACUCAGUUCUCUGCAACUACCCUUCUUCCAGACCUGCUUUGUUCCCUCCACCACACCUCCUCUCAAGCUCCUGGGACAGCUAGAGAUGCCUCCCUCAACCCCUGCUUGUCCAGGCACAGGAUCCCAGUCCUUAAUGUGCCCCUGUUAGACCCAAAGCCAGUCACUUUUCCAUACCAGGUCUUAAUUUCCUCUUCUGUAAAGUGACUCAAGAUUUUGAAACUUAAAAUCUGGUGAAUUCUUCCAAGCACAGGUGCCAUCUUAUGUUGUAUGGCCUUUGGCCAAUCCAUCUGUCCAUCUUUUCUUGGAUAGUAGUUUUGCCAGAUCUAUAAGUUAUCUUGAAAUUAGUGAAAACAGACCAAUCUUUGAUAACCAGAGAUCUAAAGCAUCAGCUUAUGGCCCUGUCCUUCAGGGUAAUGUGUAAGGCCCUCAAAGCCAUGCACAGUGUCUUUCACUUUGACUUUUAUCUCUCUCAAUACCAUGCACAGUGCUAGGCACACAGCAGGUCAGCAAGAGCAUGCUGAAUGAGCACAAACAGAUUUCACCAUCUCUCCCACUUUUUCUGCUGGACUCAGUCUUCUGAAAGUCAAGGCACAUAUGCCAGGAUUCAGGCCUUCGACAUGAAACCCAGACAGCUCUGCAUUUUUACAUCCUCUGCAGCUCUGUAAGAAACUUCAGAGCAAAUCCAUCUCUUGAGUGUUUACCCAACUUUGUGCCUCAAUAGCUGUGUGACCUUGGGCAAGUUAUUUAACUCUUCUCUACCUGAGCUUCCCCAAUAGAGAUAUUAAUAAUAAUACUUAUUUCAUUGUGUUGUUUUGAUGAUAAAUUGAGAUAAUCUAUAUAUAGCUCUUAGACCAGUACACGGCACAUAGGAAACUCUCAAUAAAUGUCAGGUAUGAUUAUCAACUUACUUUUGCAGUUCAAUAUUCACCUGAAAAAUGCCAACCUAAUGUUCUCCUAAUGAAAGUAUAAGAACUUUUCCAUAAUUAGUCUGGGUAGGUAAGGCAAUCACCCCAUCUUUGGUAGACAGGAAGGACCAUGUCUUCCAAGAGAUCCCCACAGGAAUGGGUGGGAAGAGCAUAACAGGAAACCCAAGAUGAAAGCCUUCAGGAUUAAUAGCUGCAACUGAGGGCUUAAAUCCCUUCUUCUUGGCAGCAGUACUCCUCAAAUGGUGAGCAAGUUACCUGCUAGUUGCCAGGACAUGCCAAGUCCAUGACAGAGGGGACAGGUGUAGUGCACUGAGGUUUUUACUUCACAACAAAGUGGAAACAAUGUCAGAUAGGUCAGCUAACACAGGUCUCCAUGGUUUGGAAAAUGGGAUAUCUUGGAUGUAGCCUAGGAGAUUCAAGGGAAAGAAAACUCAUCCUUGCAAAGUAUAUAAAUGUUAGUGCUGCUGUGGGGUAUGCCAGGGAGCACCACUGAACACAUGUUACAGAGGAGGUGCAGGAGAAGAGGGGGUGUGCUCAUCACCAACUAACCAGAUGGACAGCCUGGACGGAUGGGCUGGGGCUGUGGGAGGUUGGUCAGUGGGCUGACUGGCUGUGGACCAGAUGGGUUUGGGGAUCCCAUGGAGAUGGGUGAAAUUCCAGCUCCAUUCUCUCAUCAGUAGGAAACCGAGCAUGUGACUGUUGACAUCUUGGAAAGGACUAGACCAUGAGAUCUUCCUUGCUCCAAUCCCAGACAGACUCCGGCAUGAGAUAGUGGAGGAGAAUUCUGGCUCCAGGAGCAUAUUCAGCUGAUGGCUAAAGGGACCAGAAGAUCAAUUAUCCCAACAAUAAUAGGAAAAUAACCAGGGAAGAGCCUGUAAUCUGGGCCUACUUCCUCAGAAUAGGUGAGCAAAAGAAAGAUGUCACACAUUAUACAAAAUGAGAACAUGGAGAAAGAUCACUGAACCUGUCAGAAGUUCCUAAAUAGCUAUGAUAGGGGUCACAGGAUAGCCUUAGAGGUAAAAGCUAGCUUCUCUCUUUGGUCUGGGGAAAACAUGCCAAUUUCUCUCUGAUAGAAGCUUCAGGGAAGGGAAACCACGAGCCUUGUAAACAUUGACUGACUGUGAGGUACAGAACCUUAAUUGAGAUGAUGGAAGCUACAACCUUUGGUUUAAGGGCUGAAAGCACAAAUAGAUAUUUUUAAACUGUGAAAGUGACAGGGUUCCUUUUAGAUAUUGGGGCAGUAACCUGGAUGGGCCUGAUUCUAUUAUGCAAAGGUAGAAACCUCAGGUAUUUACCUGUGAGAAGCCUCCUUGUCACAACAAAUUCUUCUUGCUGCCAACUGCAUCACAUGGAAAGGCUAGGUUUGAUAAUCUAGGUGGGAUCUUUAAAACGGUGUAUGCAGGUUUUGAGUGCUGCCUGCCAAUAGUCUCUUCUUUUGAAUAAGUGUGUCUAUUUUUCUGGCAGCAGUUUGCAGAAAUCCCACUGGUUGUAAGAACAGAGAAAGCCCCACCCAGCUUGCUGAAGCCCUGAGACCUUCACUGCAGGCACACUGAGAACAGAAGAUACAGAAGUACUCAGGCUGUACUUAUGAAAAAUCAAUACUCACAGACUUUUAAAGAAAAGUUACUUUGCAUUUGGGAAGGGGGAAUCCUGAGACAGUGACUGUUGCCUAGCCUGGCUGACAAUUAUAUCCCUUAACAAAAAAGUGUUCCUGAGGUCUUUUCGAAUUUCAACACUGUAAUGGUGAAAAAAUAGAAAAUUCUCUUGAGGGAAACCUGAGGGAUAUGUCAUUAUCGAGAAUGUGGGGAAAGGGGUCAAACUGUUUUUCCAGAAAGCUUAAUAAUCAACUAGGCAAAUAUUGUAUCAGCUAUCUCACCUCUGCAAAAGAUUGAAGAGCUGGAGGCUUCUGUAUAUCAGGAAAGAGGAUCUGGGUAGGUAUCUUACCUGAUAGGGACAGGGGUAUUAAAAUAGAAAGAGGCGAGAAGAUGGGUUUUGUCUCUGAAGCAAGCUGUUGUCAGGCUUUUUAUCUUAGGGGGAAGAAGUUAUAGGCUCCUGGGGCAGAGCAGCCCAGACAAGACUGGAGAUGGAAGGCUCAUUCAACAAGCAACCUCCUAGAGGUCACCAAGAGGGAAGAAGGGGUGACCACAGGGUGGGCUGGGCAGUGCAGUCUGAAUCCUGAGGAAUUUUCCUGGCCAGGGGAGGGAACGUGUUUCAAGGCAAGGAGGGCCAGAAAGGCCGGUGUACGGUCAGAAGGAACUGCUUCACCAAGGUGCUCUUGCCUGGAAUUAACACUCUGAGGUUUCUCGCAGAUCUUAGGCUAGUCAAGGGUUUCCUGAUUAGGCUACAAAUGUGAAUCAUUCAGUCAGUAUAAAAUACAAUCUAUAACAGGUUGACGGGAAGAAGAAAGGAUGGGAAGGCAGUGUGAUGUCAUGGGAAGAACUAAGGCUUUGCAGCCAGACUUAACUGUGUGACCUUGGGCAAGUUACUUAACCCCUCUGAGCUUCAGUCCCUUCAUUUAUAAUAUGGGCAUAAUACUAUCUACCUAAAAAGGUUUUAGUGAUGAUUCAGUGAGAAACAUAUUUGAAGCAACAAGCACAGUAACUGGAAGCUGUAGGUACUCAAUAAUUGUCAGUUUCCUUCCUCUUCUAAAAGCUGUGCUUUCAAGUCAAUUGUAUGUCUAGAGUCGCACUGUCUGGUACAGUGGCCAGUACUAGCCACAUAUGGCUCUCAAGUACUUUAAAGAGGGCUAGUCUGAAUUGAUAUGUGUCAUACAUGUAAAAUACUUUAAAGAGGGCUCAUCUGAAUUGAUAUAUGCCAUACAUGUAAAAUACAAAUCAGAUUUCUAAAACUUUGUACCAAAAAAUACCAUAAAAUAACUUACUAAUAAUUUGAGUGAUUACAUGUUACAAUAAUAUUUUGGAUAUAUUGAGUUAAAAUAUAAGAUUAAAAUUAAUUCCACCUGUUUCUUUAUAUUUGAUUCAACAUGGCUACUGGAAAAUUUAAAAUUACAAUGCGGCUUACAUUUUAUUCUAUUGGACAGUGCUGAUCUAGAUACUAGAAAAGACAAGGUUGGGAAGCUGUGUUCCAGAAGCAUGUUUGUUUCUAUACCUUGAGUUUGGGUUUUGGUUUGUUCUCCCAUGGUUUCCCAGUAAAAGACCCUUUUGAAAAAAAUACCAUCCAGGGCUCAACCAAAACGGGUAGAAGAUACCUACAUGCCCCUAGUAGUCAGGUGUUGUGGUGACCACAGUCCAGGAAAAAGUAGGUAGGGCUGGUAUAUCAGAGAAUGGAGAUGUCAGGUAGGACAGUCAGGACAGCUGGGGAUGGACUGUUCUUUUCUUAGCCUGAAGCUUCUCUUCAGAUUUCUCUACCUUUCUUUACUCUGGGAAGAUGAUCCCAUUUUCUAUUAUUUCAGAAGAUUCCCCCACCUUAUACAUGAACUUGGCAAGAAGCAGGCUCCCACCAGGCAGUAACAAACACAGGUGCAAGAGAAAAUGCCACUUCAAAGCCAUCUUUAGAAAACCCCAGAGUUUCCAGAGAAAUGAACAGCAGACAUUCACAGACAUAAGAAUGUUUUUUUUUUCCCCCGCCCAAGGAGUGUGGUUAGUGGUUGUUUUUAAAACUGUACAUUUUACUGUACAUUUUUUUUCUAGCAAAGGAGAAGAUUGGCAUUUAUAUUCUGACCACAGGGAUGCUGCUUUCCAAAACUCCAAGUCAGAAACAUGACAAACACAAGAGCAAGUACAUAUCAUGUCACGAUAGAACUCGGAACCGCUGAUGAGAAUAGACAGUCAGUUGGUUCCUUCCACUGUUCACCACCUUCCCUCUGUGUGUCUGAAUCCAAAGGCCAAAAAGAAAGCUGGUGUUUGAGACCACUUCCACAAUGGCUAUAGUUUGAAAGGAUGAAUGAGAAAGAUGAGGAGGGAGAAAAGAGAAGAGGAAAAAACAGGAAGGGAAAAGAGAAAGGGUGGAAGAGAUUUCCUUUCAAGUUGCCCAAUUCUGUGGGUGCUUCUGUGACCAUAGAAAGGAUGUGCUUCAGCCCUGGGACUGGCCUCGAAAAUUAUUAUAACUUGAGGUCUCAGGAGGGACUGGCCUGAUCUGUUAAUGACCUUGUCAGGACCAGAAAGGGACUGGGAAAGGCAGAGAGUAAAAGGAGAAAAAAAAAGAAGGAUGAAGAGAAGAGAGGGGAGGGAGGAGAGUGAGGAAGGAGGAAGGCCUGGGAUUUGGAGGCUCUGGGACUAGAGCCGAAGGUAAUUCUUCAUAGACAGUUGCAAAUCCCUCCUUGUGUGUUCCAGAGUGGGGUUGGGGGCCAGCAGCUCGGGUCCAGGUCUGAGGCCAUUGGAACUUUUUGGUCCAGAAUGGUCUUGCCUGUAUGCUUUGUAGGCUGCGUGGUUGGCAAGUGGAAGAAGGAAGAACAAAAGAGAGAAAAUAGAGGUCUAUGGAAGGAGUUGGGAGAGGAAAGAAUGAGUUGGAGAGACUGAGGGAGAGGUAGUGAAUUGCUGAUGAGUAGACAUGGGACAGGGAUGCCGGGGAAAGUCAUUCCAAUCUGUCUACAGCAGGUUCUCCGUGGGCACAUCUCCUCUUCCCCUUCUCUUGCCACUGUCUGGCAGGGAGGGGUUAUCCCUAGAUGGAAAGGAGUCUAUGCACCCCUCCCAUUCCACCCUGUAAUUUCCAAGGAUGGACCCUCCUCAAGAAACCAAGAGCAGGCAUCCCCCCAUCCCACCCUGAGCCACUUUCUUAAGGAACAAACAUGGGACAGCCUUUGGACACAGAAAAGCCCUAGGCAGAGUGAAGACAGGGUCAUGGAUCCCAAAUACCACUGCCAGGAGGCAGGUGGCCUUGGCUUCUACCCUGACCUGGUCAUGAACUCACUGUGUGACCCUCGGCAAUUCCUUUAUGCUCUCUGGAAGGGAGAGGGAGGGUUAAAGAUGGGAUGAUUGCAAACACCUCCCCAAGCUUCAAAAGCCUAUGAUUCUAAAAAGAUUCAGCUUUCCCCCUCCAAGGCUUCUAGAAUUCUCUGUGUCCAGUAAAAAGGAGGGGCACUGCUGUAACCAGCUUGUGCUUCUGGUGUCACUAAGCAAAAAAGCCUAACAUCUAGAGUCAUGAAUAAUUAAUAGGCCUAUAGAACUGGAAAGGGACUGGAGACCUAGUACAAUCCCAGUAUUUUUGCAAAUUGAGAAAUUCAGGUCCCAACAGAUAAAAGGGUCUUGCCCCAGUUAUUCAGCUGGCUAUUCAUGUGACUGUGGAGCCCAGACACAGAACUUCGGACUCCAAGUCCACUGCUGUUUCUGCCACCCCUGCUGCUUUCCUUAAGAGAAGCCCUCCUGGCCUGCCACAUGCUCAAGGGGGACUUUCCAUGCCAGCUUCCCAGAAAGAGUGGCAACAAGCCCAAAGCAACUCC